rnacentral:rRNA from 1 species
CAUAGGUUAAUGAGGCGAACCGGGGGAACUGAAACAUCUAAGUACCCCGAGGAAAAGAAAUCAACCGAGAUUCCCCCAGUAGCGGCGAGCGAACGGGGAGGAGCCCAGAGCCUGAAUCAGCAUGUGUGUUAGUGGAAGCGUCUGGAAAGGCGCGCGAUACAGGGUGACAGCCCCGUACACAAAAGCGCAUAUGCUGUGAGCUCGAUGAGUAGGGCGGGACACGUGGUAUCCUGUCUGAAUAUGGGGGGACCAUCCUCCAAGGCUAAAUACUCCUGACUGACCGAUAGUGAACCAGUACCGUGAGGGAAAGGCGAAAAGAACCCCGGCGAGGGGAGUGAAACAGAACCUGAAACCGUGUACGUACAAGCAGUGGGAGCACAGGUUUACCUGUGUGACUGCGUACCUUUUGUAUAAUGGGUCAGCGACUUAU